UGAGCCGAAAUCAAGAGUCAGAGGCUCAACCAACUAAGCCACCCAGGAGCCCCACAAGGAUUCUUCAAGUGGUGUAAGAUCUAGGGGCACAGAGGGCCACUCACUGCAGGAGAAGACUCUCCCUGUAGAGACCGACUUUGACACCACAGCACAUGGCCAAUGAAAAUGAAGGAGAAACUGGGGUGACACAAUUCUCAUCCACUACUUACUCUCUUCGCUGUGGAGACGACCGGAAAUGAGCUUGAGCACAGCUUCUUCAUUGGAGUCCAGGCGCCUAGAGCACAGGAGUCAACCUCCAGCCACAGGGACUAUCUAGGCUGCCCUGGGGUCACCAGGGAUAGCAGAAGAGACGAGCCGAGCCGCAGGAGCACAGGAAGCCGGGAGGCCGCCGUGGGAAGCAAGAGGAAGGUGGGAGGGGGGGCGGACACAAUGUGGCUGCUCUGGUCCCUCACUGGCUCACGUACUCACCUGGCACCUGACACCGCAUGCUGCCAGCAAAGUGGAUCCUUCAUCGAAUGAUGCAAGGACUAUGAACUUAUCUGCUUUACGCCCUAAGGACAUCUAAGCGUGGUGCCUUGUUCCUACAAAUUGCUCUGUGAUUAUAUAAUGAUGGACCAAGAGUGACACAGCAGGGAACCUUUCCAUCUUCAGAGGAAAAAUGCUCUUACACACACUGUCCCAGGGAAACCACCUUCUCUUCCAGAAGGCAAGCGUCUCUGGCUAUUUGGAACUGCCUGUUGACCCCCAUUCCUCUUCAGCCCAUUAGUCAGAGGUAGAGCUGCUCCUGGAUAACACCCUUACACACCCUUACACACCCUUACAUGCCCUUACACACACACACACACACACACACACACACACACACACUUAAUCUGUUAACUUUUGGAACUUUGCCCAGAAGCCUCCAGAAGCCCAGACCCAAUCCUGGGUUCCCAGGUCCAAAAUUUUGUAGCAAGAAAAAGCAUUCUCAUCUGAAACUUUUAAUAGCAUAUAAAUAAAGUGAUCCAGGCUCCAAAUGGCCCAGGCAAGGCCACCCCAUAUAGGGCCGUGAAUAUCACAAUAGGUGAUUGUUUUAAAGUGUUUUAAUGAGUCUCAAAACAUCCUACAUAAUAUCAGCCUCCACUCCAGUCCUCCUGACAGGCUCCAGUAAAUAACAUGAGUUGACAGGAAUAAAACAGCUUGCUCAGGAGUAAUUGAGUGGAAUUAGAAUGAACAGACAAGAAAGAAAAAUUGGUGCUUGGGUCACAAGGAACUUUUUGUUGGGAACGCCCUGGGGGAUUUGGUGGGAUGUGGCCCCGCUGACUAAUCACCAGUAUAGAAAGUUUACAGUCUCUCCACCAUGCCAGCGUCUUUAAUAACUUGAAAAGCACAAGAGGUGGCUGUUAAUUUCAAAGACAGUUAUAUGAAGCUUUUAUUGAGUGUGGCGCAGAGUAUAUAGUUAGCAGCCUGUGAGAUAAUGAACCCUUUAAAUAGGGUUUUCAAAAACAAAACCAUCUUAUUUUUGCUUGAGCCAAAAGAACAGCAACGUUCUCCUGUUAUUUGAAAGCCGAAAAAAUGUAUAUAAAGUAGGAUCUCUCCAUUGCACACGAGAAGAGCCGCUUUCUUCACCAAGGGCAUGUGCCAUGCCAUAGAACCAUGGACACUUAGAUGGACUCAGCUGACCUUGCCAGGACAUGCCUUUGCCGGGAAGCAAGCAGAUAGGGGAGGAAGGGGUUAAAUGUGAUGGCUGCCACCCUCAUGAACAUUGGCUCCCGGGCCUUCUCUCCCUGACCUGGGCUGACAAUACUGGGAAGAGGUGGGGCCCCCUCUGGCCCCCCAAUGUCAUGAAGUGAGUAAACCAGAGAUCAAA